ACAAACAAACAAACAAACUUGAAAACUGUAAGCAAAAAGUAUUUGUUCUCUGGCACUUCACGUUCUAGGACAGUUUCAGAUGUAGGCCUUCAGGUGUGAUGAGCUGCGUGCUGACCUUCGUCAAGGGGAUGACUGAAGGAGGGCUCACAAACUAGUCCUCAGCCUAUGAGAGCGGUACUCUGGUACGAUACUCAAAACUAUGUGACCUUAGCCAGAGAAUGAUGAAAGAGACGUGCCAGUAAAAAGCAGCUCAGAGUACUUAAAGAGCUUACGUAAACUGCAGGGGGUAUACUAUCAGAAGAUGAGGUCGGGUCUUCUAAGGCUAAGGUUUUGCUCUUGGAAUUCUCCUCUGAAUUGCUUGCAACUUCCUACUGGUUCCCUCUGUAAUUAGUAAAUUAAAUAAAAUAGUUGGCACAUUCAUUUCA